GACGAACGCUGGCGGCGUGCCUAAUACAUGCAAGUUGAGCGAUGAAGGUUGGUGCUUGCACCAAUUUGAAGAGCAGCGAACGGGUGAGUAACGCGUGGGGAAUCUGCCUUUGAGCGGGGGACAACAUUUGGAAACGAAUGCUAAUACCGCAUAACAACUUUAAACAUAAGCUUUAAGUUUGAAAGAUGCAAUUGCAUCACUCAAAGAUGAUCCCGCGUUGUAUUAGCUAGUUGGUGAGGUAAAGGCUCACCAAGGCGAUGAUACAUAGCCGACCUGAGAGGGUGAUCGGCCACAUUGGGACUGAGACACGGCCCAAACUCCUACGGGAGGCAGCAGUAGGGAAUCUUCGGCAAUGGACGAAAGUCUGACCGAGCAACGCCGCGUGAGUGAAGAAGGUUUUCGGAUCGUAAAACUCUGUUGGUAGAGAAGAACGUUGGUGAGAGUGGAAAGCUCAUCAAGUGACGGUAACUACCCAGAAAGGGACGGCUAACUACGUG
rnacentral:rRNA from 1 species